rnacentral:pre_miRNA from 1 species
AAACAGCCCCAUAUGUUUUGAUUCUUUGACAGUUUUGGCCCCCAAAGGCAAAAUAAAAAAUUUGACACAUGACACCUCACUUAGGGUGCCACGUCAGCGUUGACCGAGUCAACACUGAACUGGGGUUCAAAACUGCCAAAGAAUCAAUACCUAGGGGGCAAAUU